rnacentral:rRNA from 1 species
AACGAACGCUGGCGGCAGGCCUAACACAUGCAAGUCGAGCGGACCCUUCGGGGUUAGCGGCGGUCGGGUGAGUAACGCGUGGGAAUAUGCCCUUCUCUACGGCAUACUCCUGGGAAACUGGGGGUAAUACCGUAUACGCCCUUUGGGGGAAAGAUUUAUCGGGGAAGGAUUAGCCCGCGUUGGAUUAGGUAGUUGGUGGGGUAAUGGCCUACCAAGCCGACGAUACCUAGCUGGUUUGAGAGAAUGAUCAGCAACACUUGGACUGGGACACGGCCCAGAAUCCUACGGGAGGCAGCAAUGGGGAAUCUUAGACAAUGGGGGCAACCAUGAUCUAGCCAUGCCGCGUGAGUGAUGAAGGCCUUGGGGUUGUAAAGCUCUUUCAGCUGGGAAGAUAAUGACGGUACCAGCAGAAGAAGCCCCGGCUAACUCCGUG